rnacentral:rRNA from 1 species
CAGCCGCCGCGGUAAUACGAAGGGUGCAAGCGUUACUCGGAAUUACUGGGCGUAAAGCGUGUGUAGGUGGUUGUUUAAGUCUGUCGUGAAAGCCCUGGGCUCAACCUGGGAAUUGCGAUGGAUACUGGGCGACUAGAGUGCGGUAGAGGAUAGUGGAAUUUCCGGUGUAGCAGUGAAAUGCGUAGAGAUCGGAAGGAACAUCUGCGGCGAAGGCGACUAUCUGGGCCAACACUGACACUGAGACACGAAAACGUGGGGAGCAAACAGGAUUAGAUACCCCUGUAGUCCCUGUCUCUUAUAC